GAUGAACGCUGACAGAAUGCUUAACACAUGCAAGUCGAUGGGGAAGUGGUGCUUGCACCAUGGUAACCAUGGCGGACGGGCGAGUAACGCGUAAGGAACUUGCCUGCGGGACUGGGAUAACAGCAGGAAACUGCUGAUAAUACCGGAUAAGGUCAUUAAGCUGCAUAGCUUAGUGAUGAAAGGAGACGCCUGCGGAGAGCCUUGCGUCCUAUUAGCUAGUUGGAGGGGUAACGGCCCACCAAGGCGAAGAUAGGUAGCCGGCCUGAGAGGGUGGACGGCCACAAGGGGACUGAGAUACGGCCCUGACUCCUACGGGAGGCAGCAGUGGGGAAUAGUGGACAAUGGGGGCAACCCUGAUCCAGCAAUUCUGUGUGCACGAAGACGGUUUUCGGAUUGUAAAGUGCUUUCAGCAGGGAAGAAGGAAGUGACGGUACCUGCAGAAGAAGCGACGGCUAAAUACGUG
rnacentral:rRNA from 1 species